CAGAUCCCUCACUCAGAGCGAAACUGGCUUCUGGCUUGCAAGCAGCUUCCUGAAGAGACCCAUGUGGCAAGGAACUGGAGCCCCUUUCCAGCAGGUUCUCUGGUUUCCCUGAAUGGAACCAUGGCUUGCAAGCAACGGCCCACAUCUGAUGUGUGGUGAAUUCCUGACGGAGACAGCGGUAGUAACGAGUGCUAAGUCCUUCCACAUUGACUUCUGCAAAGAGCCUCACUAGUCGGGUCUUCUAAGAAAGGGACAAAUCUUGGGCCCAACAAAGAAGAAAUAGAAAGAAGGAAGUCUGUGAUAUUGUGAAGAAAAGGACGUGGAAAUUUUUCAGUGGUGCAGUCCAGCCCAAGGAGCAUUAAGCUGGCUCAUAAUAUCAGGGAUUUUCCUCAAUGACAUAAAAAUUGCACGAGUGUGCAAAUGACUGUCUGAAGAUGUUCUUGGCAGUGUUGUUUAUGAUGAGAGAUAAGAAGCAACCUCAAAUGGCUACAA